AUUUGUAAUUUUCGGGUGAUCGCGGUUUGCUUUUGCAAGCUGAGGAAAGUCCAUGCUCGCACAAGCUGAGAUGCUUGUAGUGUUCGUGCUUAGCGAAAUCAUAAGCUAAGGUACUCUUUUAGAGUAACGGCAGGAAAAAUGACUAAGGUUUCGACUAUGUCAAAGUAUCCUUGAAAGUGCCACAGUGACGAAGCGAUGUGGGAAACUCCAUCGGUGGAACGCGGUAAACCCCUCGAGCGAGCAACCCAAACAAUGGUAGGGGCGCUCUUCUAAAGGAAAUGAACGAGUAGAAGAGGCAGAGUUUACUCUGCAGAUAGAUGAUGACCGUCACCAAUUUUUCCUGAAGAAUUGGUGAUACAGAACAUGGCUUAUAGAAAAUUACAAGUAAUUCAGGAAGACCUUCCAACGUAGUUGUGAAGGCUUUUUUU
rnacentral:RNase_P_RNA from 1 species